GAUGAACGCCUAGCGACAGGCUUAACACAUGCAAGUCGAGGGGCAGCACAGGUAGCAAUACCGGGUGGCGACCGGCGCACGGGUGAGUAACGCGUAUGCAACUUACCUAUCAGAGGGGGAUAACCCGGCGAAAGUCGGACUAAUACCGCAUGAAGCAGGGGCCCCGCAUGGGGAUAUUUGCUAAAGAUUCAUCGCUGAUAGAUAGGCAUGCGUUCCAUUAGGCAGUUGGCGGGGUAACGGCCCACCAAACCGACGAUGGAUAGGGGUUCUGAGAGGAAGGUCCCCCACAUUGGUACUGAGACACGGACCAAACUCCUACGGGAGGCAGCAGUGAGGAAUAUUGGUCAAUGGGCGUAAGCCUGAACCAGCCAAGUCGCGUGAGGGAUGAAGGUUCUAUGGAUCGUAAACCUCUUUUAUAAGGGAAUAAAGUGCGGGACGUGUCCCGUUUUGUAUGUACCUUAUGAAUAAGGAUCGGCUAACUCCGUGCCAGCAGCCGCGGUAAUACGGAGGAUCCGAGCGUUAUCCGGAUUUAUUGGGUUUAAAGGGUGCGUAGGCGGCCUUUUAAGCCAGCGGUGAAAGUCUGUGGCUCAACCAUAGAAUUGCCGUUGAAACUGGGAGGCUUGAGUAUGUUUGAGGCAGGCGGAAUGCGUGGUGUAGCGGUGAAAUGCUUAGAUAUCACGCAGAACCCCGAUUGCGAAGGCAGCCUGCCAAGCCAUGACUGACGCUGAUGCACGAAAGCGUGGGGAUCAAACAGGAUUAGAUACCCUGGUAGUCCACGCAGUAAACGAUGAUCACUAGCUGUUUGCGAUACAUUGUAAGCGGCACAGCGAAAGCGUUAAGUGAUCCACCUGGGGAGUACGCCGGCAACGGUGAAACUCAAAGGAAUUGACGGGGGCCCGCACAAGCGGAGGAACAUGUGGUUUAAUUCGAUGAUACGCGAGGAACCUUACCCGGGUUUGAACGCAUUCGGACCGAGGUGGAAACACCUUUUCUAGCAAUAGCCGUUUGCGAGGUGCUGCAUGGUUGUCGUCAGCUCGUGCCGUGAGGUGUCGGCUUAAGUGCCAUAACGAGCGCAACCCUUGCCACUAGUUACUAACAGGUUAGGCUGAGGACUCUGGUGGGACUGCCAGCGUAAGCUGCGAGGAAGGCGGGGAUGACGUCAAAUCAGCACGGCCCUUACAUCCGGGGCGACACACGUGUUACAAUGGCGUGGACAAAGGGAGGCCACCUGGCGACAGGGAGCGAAUCCCCAAACCACGUCUCAGUUCGGAUCGGAGUCUGCGACCCGACUCCGUGAAGCUGGAUUCGCUAGUAAUCGCGCAUCAGCCAUGGCGCGGUGAAUACGUUUCCCGGGC
rnacentral:rRNA from 1 species